UCCCCGAUAGUCUAGUGGUGAGGAUAUCUGCUUGUCACUGCAAUAGCAGCAGCUCGCAGGGGACCGGGGUUCAAUUCCCCGUCGAGGAG
rnacentral:tRNA from 2 species